rnacentral:rRNA from 1 species
CCUACGUGAGGCAGCAGUAGGGAAUCUUCCACAAUGGGCGAAAGCCUGAUGGAGCAACGCCGCGUGGGUGAAGAAGGUCUUCGGAUCGUAAAACCCUGUUGUUAGAGAAGAAAGUGCGUGAGAGUAACUGUUCACGUUUCGACGGUAUCUAACCAGAAAGCCACGGCUAACUACGUGCCAGCAGCCGCGGUAAUACGUAGGUGGCAAGCGUUAUCCGGAUUUAUUGGGCGUAAAGGGAACGCAGGCGGUCUUUUAAGUCUGAUGUGAAAGCCUUCGGCUUAACCGGAGUAGUGCAUUGGAAACUGGGAGACUUGAGUGCAGAAGAGGAGAGUGGAACUCCAUGGGUAGCGGUGAAAUGCGUAGAUAUAUGGAAGAACACCAGUGGCGAAAGCGGCUCUCUGGUCUGUAACUGACGCUGAGGUUCGAAAGCGUGGGUAGCAAACAGGAUUAGAUACCCGAGUAGUC